GGAUGAUGUGGAUUAAUUCGAUGCAACGCGAAAAACCUUACCUACCCUUGACAUGGUCGGAAUUCCGCUGAGAGGUGGAAGUGCUCGAAAGAGAACCGGCGCACAGGUGCUGCAUGGCUGUCGUCAGCUCGUGUCGUGAGAUGUUGGGUUAAGUCCCGCAACGAGCGCAACCCUUGUCCUUAGUUGCUACGCAAGAGCACUCUAAGGAGACUGCCGGUGACAAACCGGAGGAAGGUGGGGAUGACGUCAAGUCCUCAUGGCCCUUAUGGGUAGGGC
rnacentral:rRNA from 1 species